rnacentral:tRNA from 1 species
GUAUACUGACGGGCUCUUUGCAGUUCGUUCGUCCUUGAGUGUGCUGCAUCGGGAUCAAUCCGAAAAC